rnacentral:rRNA from 1 species
AGAUUGAACGCUGGCGGCAUGCCUAACGCAUGCAAGUCGAACGGGAGUAGCAAUACUCUAGUGGCGGACGGGUGAGGAAUACGUAGGAAUUUGCCCUUAAGUGGGGGAUAACCCGGGGAAACCCGGAUUAAUACCGCAUGACCUCGAAAGAGCAAAGUGGGGGAUCGCAAGACCUCACGCCUUUGGAGAAGCCUACGUCGGAUUAGCUAGUUGGUGAGGUAAUGGCUCACCAAGGCGACGAUCCGUAACUGGUCUGAGAGGAUGAUCAGUCACACCGGAACUGAGACACGGUCCGGACUCCUACGGGAGGCAGCAGUGGGGAAUAUUGGACAAUGGGCGCAAGCCUGAUCCAGCAAUGCCGCGUGUGUGAAGAAGGCCUUCGGUUGUAAAGCAACUUUAAGUUAGGGAAAGAAAAAACUCGACUACUAACACAGUAGAGUCUUGACGGUACCGACAGAAUAAGCACCGGACUAACUCUGUGCCAGCACGCCG